CGCUCACUGGGCUGCCGGCCCGGCAGUCACCGCCGCCCGGCCCGGAAGAGGGAGAAAUGGUUAAAAAAAAAAAAAAGAAUAAGAAGAAGAAGAAGAAAGAAAGGGGCGAGGCGAGUUCUCGACGAACCACGCGAGACGUGGCGGGGAGCGGAGGGGAGGGGGCGGCCGCGCCAUGGCGGCGGGAAGCCGCGCUGAGGCGACGCCGCCUGAGGGAAGGGGCGUGAAAGCUACCGCCCAAGCAACAUGUCAGCCCGUGCCAAAAGACAGACUGGGUAUCCAGUGGAGUUCUUCGCCUUCCCAUAAUUACUGUAAAGCAUCUUCCACAAAAAUAAAGCAUCAAAGAAGCACGUGUCAGCACUGCUACCACGGUCUGCCCACUCCAGAGCUGGCCCUUCUGCUUCCCUGCCCUCGCCUGCCCGCCUGUGCCGUGGCCGGGGAUGUCUUGCUCGGCUUGGUUAACGCGGGAUGCAGGGGCUCUGCAAAAGGCCCGACGGGACGCUGCCAGCCAUCACGUGCUGCAAUUCCACGGCACGCUGUUUCAUCAUUUGUAUUAAUUAAAGCCGCCGGAUGAGACCUCGAAGAGUUCUUAAUUGUUAUGGUCAUGGCGACAUGUUAUUUAGAGAAAUUUAUAUUCAGCACCUGUCUUCCGCUUGCCUCUGCUACUCCAAAUGUUACCUUACAGAUAUCUUAUUAUACAUUCUGGUAGUAACUUCUCAGAAAAUGGAAAACACUUAUGGUGAUAAACAUAGCAAGCUGAAAUUUUACCACCUACGAGCUAAGAUGAAAGAAAAGGUGUUUGUUCCGCUGUUGGCAAAAAGGGGAGAGGCAUUUCUGAAAUGGUUUUUCCAAACAAAAUCAGCCUUCCUGUUUCAAACUAUCAGGUGUUUUUGAAACCACAGACAUGAUUUUUAAAAAAGCCUGUUGAAUUAAAAAAUCUAUUGAAUUAUGUCACUUA